ACAAAAGAACAAGAAGACAGAGGACGGAUUACAAGUGAAGCACUCAUUUCUUCUCUUGAGUGCUCAGGACUGCGGCUGCUUACAUAAGUGGGUCUUCCUGUACAUAACUGGAGCAUUUGUGUUGAAGGUUAGAUGAAUCCAUGAAUCUCCAGAAGUGAAAGUCAAGAGCACUUAAGGAAAUUUAGAAAGAAUGAAGGUAGAUACGUUUUGAUUGCCUGCUGCCACAGCAGAUGUCAGAGUUGCUGGAGAUGACUGGAGCACUCUGCAGCAGUUCAGUUGCACAAUAGUUGGAAGCUACUCUGAGAUUUUGCUCACUACUUGAACAAUCUUUCAAGGUGCUCUCACAACUUUGGCAAUUCAUUCUCAGCCCUCACAGACAGUACAGCACUGAAGCAGAUUACAUUACUGUGCCAUAGCCUACUUCUCACCAUGGUUUUAUGAAGGAAUCAGCACCGACUAGAUUGGACAGAUUGAUUUGUCAGCCAGAAUCUGAAGAAAGAUAAUAAUUCCCAUUGGGUAAGGAAUCUCUCGAAGACAGCUGAAGAUUAUCACCUUCCAUACUCUUCAAAUGUGACCAUUGUUGACCUCUCUGUGACAUUAGCAUAUGAGUUUUCUAGUGUUUUCUAAGAGUUUUCUACCAUAAAGAGCCAUAUGAGAAGACAACAAUAUAUUCUCGGUAAAAAAAUAAAACGAAAAACUAUUGAAAGGCAGAAAGACAAGUUUACUCCUAGUUGAUAUAUCAGUUAAAUAAAUAUAUUCUUCAG
rnacentral:lncRNA from 7 species